rnacentral:rRNA from 1 species
GAGUUUGAUCCUGGCUCAGGAUUAACGCUAGCGGCAGGCCUAAUACAUGCAAGUCGUACGGUAACAGGUGUAGCAAUACAUGCUGACGAGUGGCGCACGGGUGCGUAACACGUAUGUAAUCUGCCUUUAACUGGGGAAUAACCCCUCGAAAGAGGGGCUAAUACCGCAUAACAUCACCGGACGGCAUCGCCUGGUGAGCAAACCUACGGGGGUUAAAGAUGAACAUGCGACUGAUUAGUUAGUUGGCGGGGUAACGGCCCACCAAGACCACGAUCAGUAGGGGAUCUGAGAGGAUGAUCCCCCCACACGGGUACUGAGACACGGACCCGACUCCUACGGGAGGCAGCAGUAAGGAAUAUUGGACAAUGGAGGCAACUCUGAUCCAGCCAUGCCGCGUGAAGGAUGAAUGCGCUAUGCGUUGU